ACUUAAGCAUAUCAAUAAGCGGAGGAAAAGAAACUAACAAGGAUUCCCCUAGUAACUGCGAGUGAAGCGGGAACAGCUCAAAUUUAAAAUCUGGCGGUAUUUGGCCGUCCGAGUUGUAAUUUAGAGAAGUGAUAUCCGUGCUGGACCGUGUAUAAGUUUCCUGGAAAGGUGCAUCAUAGAGGGCGACAAUCCCGUCUUUGACACGGACUCCCAGUGCUUUGUGAUACGCUCUCGAAGAGUCGUGUUGUUUGGGAAUGCAGCACUAAAAGGGUGGUAAAUUCCAUCUAAAGCUAAAUAUUGGCGAGAGACCGAUAGCGAACAAGUACCGUGAGGGAAAGAUGAAAAGAACUUUGGAAAGAGAGUUAAACAGUACGUGAAAUUGCUGAAAGGGAAACGCUUGAAGUCAGUCACGUUGGCUUGGAAUCAGCCUUGCUUUUGCUCGGUGUACUUCCUUGUUGACGGGUCAACAUCAGUUUUAGUCGUUGGAAAAAGGCUAGGGGAAUGUGGCAUCUCCGGAUGUGUUAUAGCCCUUGGUCAUAUACAACGGCUGGGACUGAGGUGCUCAGGCCGAAGGCUAGAGGAUGUUGGCAUAAUGGCUUUAAUCGACCCGUCUUGAAACACGGACCAAGGAGUCUAACAUGCCUGCGAGUAUUUGGGUGGAAAACUCAUCUGCGCAAUGAAAGUGAAAGUUGAGAACCCUGUCGUGGGGUGCAUCGACGCCCAGCCCUGAUCCACGGUGACGGUGCUGCGGUAGAGCAUGUAUGUUGGGACCCGAAAGAUGGUGAACUAUGCCUGAAUAGGGCGAAGCCAGAGGAAACUCUGGUGGAGGCUCUAGCGAUUCUGACGUGCAAAUCGAUCGUCGAAUUUGGGUAU
rnacentral:rRNA from 1 species